rnacentral:rRNA from 1 species
UACGGGGGGGGGCAAGCGUUGUUCGGAAUUACUGGGCGUAAAGGGCGCGUAGGCGGCCUACUAAGUCGGACGUGAAAUCCCUCGGCUCAACCGGGGAACUGCGUCCGAUACUGGUGGGCUUGAAUCCGGGAGAGGGAUGUGGAAUUCCAGGUGUAGCGGUGAAAUGCGUAGAUAUCGAGAGGAACACCUGCGGCGAAGGCGGGUUGCUGGGCUGACACUGACGUGGAGGCGCGAAAGCUAGGGGAGCGAACGGGG